CUGUGGUCUCGAAGAAUGGUGACCAGCCCCAGCCAUCUCCCUGCUUUGUUCUGCAUCCUCAGGUCAGCCUGACGCCUCCAUCCCCUGCUAUGCUCUGGCACUCAUCAUCCUGGGUCUCCUGUUUAUUGCACUGGUCCUGGUGUGGAAGCGGAAGACCUGCUUUGGCGUGUCCAGCCAGACACGGUGCCCUUUCCUGCUGUUGCUCCUCCAGUGAAACCAAAUUCCAGACCUCUCCUCCUGCCCCAACCUGCUCCCAGCCUUCCAGAGUCAGCGCUCAGCCCUGAGAAGCAGAGCCAGAGCAGAAAGGCCCUAGCCUGAGGUCCCCACAGCACGGGGGGCUUCCUCCCUUCCAGCUCCGCCAAGGACUAGACUCCGAGGGAGCAACAGAGGUGGGCUGAGGGGAACAGCACCUCACUGCCCCCACCAGGGAGACCAGCAUGCAUUAGCCACGGCAGCCACCUCCACCCAAGGUCUGGGAAAACCCUCCAGGUCACCGUCAUACUCAGGUCAGGCCCUGAGGAGCGGAACAUGGCAAGAUGGAGGCUGCAGAAGAUGCGGGAAGGGGAACAGAGCUGGCUUCCUCGUACCUGGCCUGACACGGUAGUGGGGCUAGAGGUAUUACUGGCCUCAAGACAAACUCUGGUUGUUUAGGGUAUGGGAAAUUAAAU
rnacentral:lncRNA from 1 species